UGAUUACAAAUAAUAUUUGUAACAUUGACGAAAGAGAAACAAAGAUGGAGUAGCAUAGAAUUUUUCUCAAUAAAACACCUCUGCAAAUCUCUUAUCUCUUUAUACAAUAAGAGAGUCAAGAAAAUUUGGGCGAUGAUUGGCUAAUAAAGUAUGCUAAUUUGUUAUAGGUAAUUGAUGGGUUGAUUAUUUAAUUAGAGGUUGACUUUUAUUAGUUUUUGUUAUUUGCUAUAGGGCCUAUUGAGGUGGGUUGUUGAUUUGAAGGAGCUGAAGAAGAGGGCAGUGAAGAUCUCCUCGCGCGGACCUUGUGAUGUUGAUGAAGUGAAGAGUUGACUUACGAGAGGAUGGUUUGGAUGUAGCGGUUGCAAGCCUGGAUGAAGAAUGCUUUUGUGAUGACCCUUCCUUGUCUUCUUUAUUCAGGAGAAAGCCAUGGUGAGGGUAUGGUUUCUUUGUGAUGGUUGUGACUUUUAUAUAUAAUGUUUCUCUUCUCCUUAUUUUCAAGCUAUGAUGACCGUAUGAUUUCUUUGUGAUGGUUGUGACCAUACUGAAUAUGAGACUUUGUUCUUCUGACUGAACAAGUGUGUAAGGCUCUGGUUUCGAGAGAUUAAAUAUUGAUGGGUUUAUGCUGAGUUCUGGGUUACAAGCAAAAACCAGAAAAUGGUCUUGUUAAACCUCCUCUUUGGUUUUUCUCAUCAUAGACAUCACCCAAAACAUAUACAUGUGUGUUGUGAUUUCUGGUGGUUGAUGACAUGAAUACUUCUUUAUUGCAAUUAAUCUUAAAUCAAGUGCAAGUGAUGUUAUUUAUGGACUAUUUGAUAAGCAAAAUCCUGAAUUUUAUAUGGAUUUGACUGGUUUUGUAAGAGCUGGAUGUUAUAGUUGUCGUCAAGUUUCCAGCUUAUGCUUUUGUUAACUUGGGUUCCUGAAUUAUUAAUUUGAACUUUCAGGCGCAAAGCAUCAUUGCUUGCUGGAGAUAUAAACCACUUGAAGAGAGCUCAGGAAGAAGGCUGCAGAAGGUAGUGAAGGUCUUUUCCUGCCAUUGGAUGUUGAUGAAGAGUUGAGCAUAAGAGUACGGUUUGCAUGGUGCCCCCUAUUUAAUCAAGGCUUCUAUAUGUUGUACCUUGGAAGGCAGGGUGAAGAACACUUUUUUCUGACGAACAGCUGCAAAGAAGGGCACUGUGAUGAUACUGGAGUAAACCAGUUUCUUGCAGGCUCCAUCCAACAGGCAGCAAAUCCAUACUCGACAAAUUUUCCGCCUCACAAGAUUUCUCAUUAAAAUCCACAUUUCGAAUAAGAGGAGAAGGGUAGCUUUAUUUAAACCAUCCCCGUCAUCUCAGGACAUAUCUGGUGAGCCUAUCAUUUUUUAGUGAUGGUUGAUGCUUUCAUAAGGUUCAUUAUCUCCUCUCUCAUCAUAGAGGGUGGUCAUGUCAUGCAGUUGAUUUAGAGGAUAUUUUAUCUCGUUCUGUAUGAAAAUGAGAGAGAUACAGUUACAGACAUGAACUGCACUUUUUGUAAUGAUAAUUACUGAUAACAUAAUGCAAUAAUAAAUGCUAAUUAUCUCCACACAAUUUCUUCUGGGAAUUUGUUUUCUGAUGUCUUUCUCAUAACCUCUUAAUAAUUAAUGGAAGUUGGCUUUAAUACUUUUUUUGCUUCAGUACAUAAUGUCAUUUGAGAGUAAUAGAAUACAAACUGAAAAAUUGUACAAAACACUAGUAACAUUUAAUGCAAUGAUUUUAUAGAUCAUUUAUAUGGAAAGUAAAUCGAUUAUAUUACCCUGAUAAUUACUUGCGACUUCAGUUAAUGAGAUUUUUAUGGAUGUUCGUAUAGAGUUUUGCAUGCUUAACUGUAGUGCAGUGUUAUUUAACAAGUUAUUUUUGUUUCCGUAAAUAAUUUUAGGAAACUAUAAAAUUUAGGACACUACUAAUAUUAGCUAUAAGAUUAUCUUUCCAUGUAUAAAAGCUAAUUAUUAGAAAUCAGUUAUACUUCCAUGUAUAGAUGGAAUUAAUAUAUAAGGAAAGAGAGGAACUGACAAGGGGUGUGUUCUUGGAGAAACAAAGCUCUCUGUUUUAGGUUUCUCUUGGUUUUGCAUAGUAUAUUGACAUGGUAUCAAUAGCAGGCUGCUAGAUUGUCUGUCUUUCACGAAUUUUUUUCUUUCUCAGGAGAGCUUCUUUGUGGAUUCUCAUUCACACAAAGAAGUGCAUUAAACAAGCAAGAGAGAUCAAUUCUUGAUAAAGCUCCGUUUUGAUUUUGAAACUGCACGUUCUCAUCUGAUGAAUCAUUAUCUUGUAUUAUCUCUGGAUACCUGAUUGAGUGAAUUUCUUCAUGAGGAGCAGUGUAUUGUAACUCAGGCUGUCAUGGAACAUCAGGCUAAUGUUAGCGCAUCUGUUUCUGUGAUUUAUGUAACACAGGGGAGGAAUAAAGGUAGAGACAUGUGUUUUAUCCAGUGCUUUAGUUGUAAAGCUUUUGGUCAUAUUGUUCCAAGAAGUUCUGUAACUACUACAAGAAACAGAGUUAUAUCAUCUCUGUUUGUCCCAUUCAACCUGAAUGUAAGCAGGGUAACAUUUAAUGCAAUGAUUUUAUAGAUCGUUUAUAUGGAAAGUAAAUCGAUUAUAUAACCCCGAUAAUCACUUGCCACUUCAGUUAGUGUGAUUUUUAUGGAUGUUUGUAUAGAAUUCUGCAUAUUUAAUUGUAGUGCAGUGUUAUUUAACAAGUUAUUUUGUCACUUGUCUCUAGUUUUGCUGUUAAAUCUGCCUUAGAUUCAGCUUCUGCACACUAGUAUUCGUAUUGAGAGUCAGAGGUUCCUUAACAGUUUGGUUUGGAAUUGAAUGACGAAUCGUCAUUUCCUCUGUUGACUUAACUGAAAGCUUCACUUCUAUUCUCGAGCAAGACCCUCUUACUGAUAGGGCUAGUCCCCAAGACCAAGGGAACUGAUGGAGGAAAUGCUUGUCGACAGAUUUUCAAGAAAAACACCAUUGUUUUUGGAGGAAGCGAGUGAAAAGAAGAUUACUUGGAGUGAGUUAAAAAGCGCAAUAGAGAAAGCCAGUGUACAAAGAACGAGUCAAAAGAGAGGGUAAAGAAGCUAUCUUUUCCUUGUUUCCUUUGGGAGUGAUCUAUGAGUGCUCCAUGUUUGAUUCUCCUUUUCAGGUUUGCAUUUAAGAGCUUCUUUCGUUUUGAAUACUUGUGUAUAUGCAUGUUCUGGAAAAUGGUCAUCUCUUUCCAAUCUCACCAUUUUUUCUUGGACUAAAAGAGAUUGAUAAUCAGAUCUGAAUUAAUUGAAGUAUACAUUGAAGGGUAUAAACUGCUGGUUGUUUGUGAAUGUGUGUGCUUAAACUACUUCCAUCUUGAUUGGUUGCAUGUUGCUUAUCAUAAAAUGUUCAAUAAAAUUCCUCGAGUUAAGGGAACUAAAAUACAAAUUGCAACAGACCUGAUUUGUAAGUAGAGGGAAAUAAUAGAAGAAGAUAGCAGUGCAGAAGAGAGCAGGUUUCUUCAAUGAAUAAAGGAUGAUUGAAAGGAUUGGAUACCACUCUAACAGAAAGGAAAAAUAGAUUAGUUUCUGCAUGCUUGUCAUUAAAAAAAAAAAGACGGAGAAGUAGCUUAUAAGUUCAAAUCUAAAUCAUGAACUUUAAGAGAGCUAUUUAGAAUUAAAAUAUUGAAAAUAAAUCAAGUUAAAGGCAUGAAAGUAGAAAACAAGAUAUAGUAGAUAGCCAUAGUUUUAUCACCUGUACAAGUAUUUGGGAUUGUGGUGCAGGGCUACAGUUUUAUCUGUAUUCUGGUUCCUGACACUGCAAGUUGAAGUCCCCAUCUAAUGUGUUAGAAGAAACUGAGCAAUAAAUAUGAGCUAGGAAAUGUUCAAGGGCAGAGGUGAACUAUUUGAUCUUGCAAAUCCAAGCAAGACGAUGAAGAAAUGGUUCUAACAUCAUCUUCACGGUGUGAGUGGAUACAUGGAUUGGAUUCAAGAGCAUGCUGAGGAAUAUUUUGUGUGUUUGGAGAGGCAGGGAUGUUAGAGAAAAGUUCAUUGUCAAGGGAACAAAGCUCAUCACCAACAGUGCCUGUAGGAUAACAAUAUGUUUCCAUGGCAUGACCUGGUCGAAGACGCUGUCGACGACCUGUCAUGAUGGAGUCCCUCAAUAAGAAUGGAGUUUGAAUCUAAACACCGGCAAAAGCAAUGACAACAACCUCAACAAAAAAAAGCUAAGUGAAUUGAAAGAUUAUUUAAAAACUGUAGUGAAAUUAUGUAUAAGAUGUGAGGUGUUAAUUGUAGACUGAAGAUUGUGUGAGGACAAAACAAAAACAUGAAAUUGAGGCAAAAUAUCAAAACUAUGAAAAUCAAGCAAAAUUCUAAAAGGCAUUGGUUUUUUUGCCCUUGACCUGCAAUACCCACACACUAAAAAACAAUUGUGCACAUACUGUGCAAUUCUUAAUGAAAAGCCCCAAACAUGGAUAAUAUGUUAGAAGUUUAGGGAAAGUUUCACUAUGCUCUUCAAACUUUUAAAUAAACACAAAUUAUACAAUUCUUGUACAUCAACAAUUAAUUGUCCAAUUCAAUAUAGCAAAAAUAAUCCGGUAUGCCUCUUGUUUUUGGAAUAUAAUGUGGUUGGAACCUAAAACUUUUUAAAAAAUUAUCGUCAAAGCGUGUAUAAGCUCAAAGAUUGGUUGGUCGGUCGUCAGAACCACCAAAAUAUAAUUCUGACUUAACUAUCACAAACAAAAUAAAUUUAUAGUAUGAUCGUGAAAACCAAGUCAAAUCCAAGGGAAAUUUCGUUUAAUUUUCCUACAAUAUAAUGAAAUGAGAAAGAACAAGGGAUUUGAAUGAAAAAUUCAAGAAACAAUAAUUCUGAAAAUAAUAAAUUGAUAUGUUGUUAAAUCAGUUCAAGGGUCCGCACAUCCAUUCUUAUAAAUCUAUUGGUCAUCGAAGUAAAAUAAAUAUUCUUUCACGUUAAGCAAAUAAAUUCGAUAUCCCUUAAAGCUGAGGGAAAUCGAUGAGAUUACGAAUAUAUUAAUUAAGAAAAGCUCUCUAAUUAAUUUCUUACCAUCAAGCGAAUGUAAUAUUGAAAGCAAUUUUCAUUCACUCGGCAGUAGUCUUAGGAAUAAAAUCUGUAUAUUUAUUCUAAGCAAACAUUCAAAAGCUUGAGAAUUUUAACUUAGUUUAUUAUUUUCUAAUAAAUCAAGAUGAGAGUUGCAGCAAUCAAAUUAAUUCUUUUGCUUCUUAUUGUAGUCCUUAACAACAAUUACGGAUAGAAAGAAACUAAAAAGCAUACAUGCCAUCUCAAAACAAUUCAAUAAGCUUGAAUAACAAUCAAUAGCAUAAUUAUGAACAAUGAAAAAAUAAAUACUUGAAUAUGAAAGAAUUACAAUAAUAACAUUACUUCUCACAACGUGCUAAUGAAGAUGGUGUGUGUCCCUCUUGAACCGAAUUCAGGAGUUUAGUUCAUGGUUGCUGGAAAAUUGACAAAAGCAGAGAAGAAAGGAAUGUUUUUCGGAUCCUGUUUCAGCUCUAUUUAUCCUCCCCCUUUGCUACUGAAAUCUUCAGGAUUCUUAGGCUAACUAGGAGUCUUCAUGAUGCUAAAUUCGUUCCUUCUUUAUCUAUUCUUUAAGGUUGGAUAAAUCUCUCAGAAUUUGUGUUGAAAUCUGCUUCUACUGCUGUCACAAUUCUAUUGUAAUACCAACUCUGUUGCAAUUUGGAUUUUGAUUCUGACUUGGUUUCUUGCAAUAUCCGACCAUCCCAGCUAUAUUCUUUCAUUCAUGACAUGUUAAAGGCUUGAUCUGCACCUUUAUUGGGUCCUAAGACCCACCGUUUUUAUGUCAGAUUCUCAGCCGUAUUGAGAUGCUCGACACCGUUAGUUUCUAAAUCAGAUCAGGGACCCAUUUCGACCAACCAGAUUGCGUCCGGAUUCUGUCCUUCAAAACAAUUUUAUCUGAUUUUGAUUCCUUCAUGAAAUUUGUAGUCCUGUAUGUGUCAAUGAAUUUAGGUUUUUGAAUCGCCUGAUUUCGAUAUCAGAAGGUCAAGAUAUUCCCGUUUGAAUCUCUAGUGUGAAAGCAGAGAAUCCUGCUGCGAAAAGGAUUUUGGCUCGAGUUUGCAAGUCUGAUUCGAGGUCCAAAUGAGAUCAGAAUUUUACCCAUAAUACCUUUCUGGAAAGCUUGACAUGUAUACUUCAACUUAGAUUAAGCCCACCUUCUCAUUUUGGAACUCUGACUUGGCAAAAAACCUGUCACAAAAAGCUAGGUCAAAAACAUAAAAUGCAGAAUUUCUUAUCUUUUAACGAUUAAUUCACGAAGUCUCUUCCACGUGCUAAACUCAUAAAAAUAACUUCCAUUCAACUCAAAUAAGUUCAAAAUAUAUAACAAUCAUAGUGUAAAAGGAAUAAACACGUGUAUAUUUUGCACUUAUCAAUAAUGUGUUAGAAGUUUAGGGAAAGUUACAUUAUGGUCCUCAAACUUGUAAAUAAACACAAAUUAUACAAUUCUUAUAUGUCAACAAUUGUCCAAUUCAAUAUAGCAAAAAUAAUCUGGUAAAUAUUCUGUCUUGUGAGACAUGAACAUAUGCCUCUUGUUUUUGGAAUAUAAUGUGGUUGGAACUUAAAGCUUUUUAAAAAAUUAUCGUCAAAGCGUGUAUAAGCUCGAAGAUUGUGUGAGGAUUGAACAAAACACCAAUUUGAGCAAAAAAAAAAAAGAAAACAAAAACAAUGGAAAACCAAGUAAAAUCUAAAUGUUUUUUUUUUGUUGCUUUUGAGCUGCACUAUCCACACACCCAAAACUUAUUUUGGGUGAUCCAAAUAAUUCAAUUUGGUUAUCUAAGUUUUAUUUUGGGUGAUCCAAUCCUAACUGAAACUUAUUUGACUUUGAUUUCCUAGUCAAGCGUAGGACUGGAAGAAUAGGUACCAGAAUAAGAAAAAUCCCCAAAUGCGUUGGUGCGUGUUUUCCACGUGCCAACAACUUUUUAAAAUUUAAUAUUAAAAAUAAUGUUAAAUUACUAAAAAGCCCCUUCAUAACCCUGUAAAUAAAUAGAAAAACCAAUGUGAAAGUAUCAAAACACCUCUGCAUGCAUAGAAGCUAUUUUGUCUUAUAUACGGGCAAAGAUGUAUUUUGUUGAUUUUCAAGUUUGUAUAAAGUCAAAAACACCCUUAGUCAGCGGGUUUAAAUUUUGUUGACCUUGGGGGCAGAAGUGUAUUUUUAUUGUGCAAAAUAAUUUGCAAAGACAAUAAUACCCAUGUUCAAUCUUUUAAUGGCCAUCGAGUCACCAUAAAAAGACUAAAAUACCCCCAUUUCAUAACCUUCAAACUUUUCCAUCGAGGGGCACAAAGGUAAAUUCACUAUAGCAAUCCACAGUAAACCGUGUCUAUUGCUAUAGUGAAUUAAUCUCGCGUUUUAGCUUUUUCUUAAAUAAAUAUUUUUAAUAAAUGGGAAAAUAGAAACCCUAAUCAUAAGCUAUGUUUGAUUAUUGUGUGUUUGGUAUUGUGGUGUUAUGGUAUUUUUCAUUAGAAAAAUAUUAAAAUAUUUUUAUUUUUAUUUUAAUAUAAAUACAUCAAAAAUAUUGAAAAACACUUUUAAAAAAAAUUAAUUUGAUAAUUUUUCAUGUUAAACACGCUACUAAAAUAUACUCCAACGCAUGUUGAAACGCUAUACUGAACAACGAAGCAUGCAUGUCUUACAUAGGAAACAUGUAAAAGAAAUAAUCAAAUUGCAAAAAGCUUUCCCCCAUGCAUGCAUGCAUGCAUGUCUUUUGCCAAAACAAUGACAGUUCCCGAUCCUUCUUUUGAAAGGAAACAACAAAAGCAAGAUUGACACUAGAAACCCAUUAUGGACCAUGAGGGUAAAGGACCAGAUUUAUAAGAGUUAAUUAUAAGUCAAUUCUUGUAAUUUAUCAGGGUAAAUAUAUAAAUUAAUUAUUAUAAUAUUAAAAAAAUAAUUAUAAAGUGCUCUGACCAAAAUUGACUAUGCAUAAUUUAUUGCUAUUUAGUUUCAAAAAACCUCCUCUCUCUCAUCAAUGUUUCGAUAUUAUUAAAUUAGUUUUUAUCUUUUUAUAUUUUUUAAAUAGAUUAGAUAAAAACUUUAAAGUGAAAAAAAUGAUUGAAUUAGUUUUUUUUUUUUUUUAAAAAAGGAAAGAUAGUUAAUUAGUUUUGAUAAACUCCUAGGGAUUAAGGUAUGGUUUACCUCCAGCUUGUAAAAAUAUCACGUGUAAGAAACUUGUCAUAGCGCCGACUUGUAAGAAUAUCACGGGCAAGACACUUGCCAUAGCGCCAACACGUUAUCACAUUGACAAGUCAAAGUACUUGUAGAUCUCCAGAAUCUUCUAAGGUUUUAUCUUUGUUUGGGGCCCGAGUUGGCCAGUCGGAUGGGUGAAGGGUAAUUUGGGUUUUCGGUUCCAUAUUUCACAUCUGUGCUUUUGAGCUCCACGUUUGUGCCAGCGUCACCUUUUUUUUUAUCUUUUUUUUUAUGUACAAAGAGAAAAAAAAAUCUUAUUUCCAAACUUUGAUUACCAUUCGGAUGCAUGUUCGGUCUGAGAUUUGUUUUUGAAUAUUUUUAAAAGUAUUUUUAUUUUUAAAAAAUAUUAAAUUGAUAUUUUUUAGUGAUUUUAAUGUACUAAUAUUAAAAAUAAAAAAAUCUUAAAUAAAUUUAUUUUAAUAUAUCUUUAAGUAAAAUGUUAUUUUAAAAUAAAUUUGCAUCAUAAUUUCAAAUACAUAUUUAAAUCAAAAUCACUGAAUAAAUUUUUUUAUAUUGAAAAACAGAUGAAUCUGGAAUCCAAAUGAUAUCCUGAAAUAUAAAAUUACCGCAGUUAUUUUUUUAUUUUUUACAAAAAAAAGCAAAUAAAAGAUCCGUCUAAAUUGAGUUGUGCCAUCUAAAAAUAAUAAUUUCACGGGUAUUUUGGAUAUUAAAUCUUCAGUACAUAAUUUUUCUCUUCCGUAGGAUUUCAUUGUUUAUAUUCUACGUGAUUCCAAGAUAAUCCCCCCCAACAAAAAAGGAAUACCAUCGUUCAAAAAUAAGGAAAAACACAGCAUUUCUAGCAAAACAAGCAAUCAAAACCCCGAAACAAGGUGGUGAAUUGUGGGCAAAUGAUGGGUUUUUUUUUGCAGAGAUUGAGCUCUGGGAUUUUGGAGAAAUGGGUCACUUUCAGCUUCUUUUGUUUUGGAUGUCAUGGAGAGCUAAAGUGCUUGUUUAUCGCAUGUUUUUUCCUGUGGAAGAAUCAUGUCAUGAUGGGAGGAAAACAGAACAUUGGAUGUCACUCCCAUCACUUUACAUCGUGGAACAUAGAUUAAGAAAUUGUGUUGGCAAGUGUGGGGUCCAAAUAGUCCAGAAAAUACAAAUAUCAUUUUUGUUUGUGGAACAAAAGUUUCAGAAUGACAAGAAGACAAGGAAAAUAGGACAGCAGAAGUUUCCAACACAACAUCAAACAAGCAGUUUUCAGGUAUCAAUCGCUAGACUGUCAUCGUUUAGGUCACACCAGGCUAGCAUCUGGUGGAGCUGAAAUGCUGGCGGUAGGUUUCAUUUGAGCACAGACUUCGAUGGCUCCUUGAACUGGGUCCGAUAGGAAGUUCCAAGGAGGUCGUGGCUGGUAGGAGCACCAUUAUCCGCUGCUUCCAGUGCCUGCUGGGUGAUCAUAUGUGAGAUGAUGGCAAAUGAAUCUUAAGGAACAAGAAAAAUUCUCAUCACAUAUUAGAAUGUUGGCUACAUAAAACCAAUGCCCCUGCAAGAACAUCAUCAAUUCCUUACUUCUAUUUACUGCAGGGUUCAUCUUCAUAGCACUGAUACUGGCUGUCCAUGAAAGGAAGUUACUGGGCACAGAGUAUGUGAACACAAAAAGAAACUUAAACGAGCAGAAGCUUGUAUGUGAACACAGACAUGCACGUACAUCAUAAAUGUGCAUUGAGCGGUCACCGAGAAAUGGCAUGGUACCAAGCUCCUUUCUUACGACGUAGAAUGUCAUAAAAGUAACAGAAGUACACAGUUUGAAGGACAUGCAAAAGGCAUCAAGUUAAAGCAACCUAUUCAACUGUUUGGCCUAAAUCUUAUAGUGGUAGCACGGGUUUCAGCAAAAGAGCACAAAUCCUUCCUUUAUCAUACAAAGGAGCCAUGGGAUAUUAUGUAGUCAAGUUCGAGGAAUUAAUCACCCAAGUCAAAGGAAUUUCCCAAGCAGGGAAGAGACAACUUCAAUGAACAACUCCGAAAUUAUCACAUUAAUGGAAAAACAGUGAAAAUAAUGAAGCUAACAGGUAUCAAACAUGCAUGCUGAUUUUCAAGCAUCAUGCACACAUGGAUUUAUUUGUCAAAAAAUAUUGUUGUUUAUAAAUAUAAUUUAUAUUAAAAAAAAACAAACAGGGGAAAGACAAGCAACAAAAUGCACACUAUAACGAGUUAAAAAUCCUAAAUCACUACCUUUGGUUAUCAAAUACUAAAUUAAGGUUUCCAUUUGAUUUUGCUUUCACAAAACUGAACUUUACAUUAGAGCAGGAAAUAAUAAAGAAAAUAAAUUUGGAACAAACGACAAUGAGGUAGGAAAUGCAAUACCUCAUCGUGGCCAGGAAUAAUCUUCUCCUUGAAACCUGAGGUUUCAAAAUCAAGAGGAUCCAGAGGCUUUGCACUUGGUGCCAAAACCGUUUCUACAGCACCGAUUGAGCCCUCGAUGCCAUCGCCACCGCUACUGCCACCCACACCACCAUCACUUCCACCACCAAUUUUACUAAUACCGGACCAUACCGUAGGAACAGAGAAGAUCCAAGGUAUUAAAUUGGAGAGGAUUCUAGAUGGAAAACUAGCCCAUAGUUUCAGGAAAUUCGAUAAUAUCGCGUGAUUGAACAAAAAUACAGAGACAACGCAACGAAAUGAAAAUUCUGUUUUUUUUUCGUUGCCCGCCGAGGAUAUCUUCCCACUACUUACAGAGCGGAUACGAAGAUCAAGACUUACAGCACACGUUGGCGACUCCGUUUUAAUAGAGUGUUCGCCGCCUCUCCCACCAAUGUUGCCUCCAUCACCACCACUACUAUUAUUACUAUUAAUGGUAUUUCUAAGCAGCUUGAUAAAACUUAUGAUAGCUGCACUGUGGAUGAGAACUGAUGGAAACAGCUCACAAAAUGUUUGCGAUUGAAGGGAGUUCGAUUGUUUUGGAGCAGCGAGGAGAAGAGUGGAAAUGUCAGAAUGAAUCUCAAAUUGUGUUUCCUUUUCUUGACCACCAGCAGGGGAGAAUUUCUCCAUCUUGCUGAUAGAAGCUCCGAAACCCAGAGAGAUUCGCAACGGUUUGAUAUCAAAACCAGGGCCAGGCGUCGACAACAUUUUAGGACGGAAAGCUGAGCUUCUCCCAACAACGUUAAUCUGCUUGGAUCUUGGGAGAGAUAAACAAGCUAAAUGGGGUUUGAUUAACGAUUUCGCUGGUGAUUUUAAGGGUUCUGGACAGGAUAGAGUAGAAGAGAAGUGCAAGGCCGCCAUUUCUGUCUUGACUGGGUUUCUGGUUUGAGGGUUUUGGAAACAAGCGGUUAGUAUUUAUAGAAGAAAGGCGUUGCUUGUCUGUUUCUAACACUAGCGUCAGGUAGAUAACGUAAGUCCAUCAUAGGGGGGCGAGAGAAUCUAUUAACUCGAGAAGAUCUAAUGGACUCAGAUUUAAUCAUCCUUUGUUUUUUUUUCUUUUAUUGGUGGGCACAAAGAAGGAGGCUAAUAAAUUCCUCAAUCAUUAGAUAGUCAGUUAAUUUUAAGGUGUUUGCGCAUUACAUUUUUAAGUGUAUGUUCUGUAAUUAGCAGUUGCUUGAAGGGGCAAGUUGGGUUUUUACUUUUUAGUCUUGUGCUUUAUUUUUUAAUAAAAUAAUAUUGUCUGAAAAUUACAUUGUAUUACUACAAAUUCUCUCCGUGCAGAGACAAGCAUGGUUUGCUUCUCUUGUCUUCCUCUUCCUGGUAAACCCCCCUGUUCAUUUUCUAUUCUUUAAAACUAAAUGUUAAGGUUUUUAUAGAACUAUUAAUAUUGAUGUUUCAUUGUUGGCUAUAUUUUUUAAAGUUUGACCUUUUUCUUGCCCCUUAAUAAAUAUUGUGGUGAGAAUAAAAUUUAGAAACUUGAAAAUUAGCUGGAUUGAGUGUUUCUGAUUAUAUGGGCUGCUUAGUUUUUUAUGUUUGGUUGAAUGUUUGCUGAUUUUGGAAUUUAUGGCUCUUUUCAAUAAUCAUAAUUUUCCAAUCUCGGGAGAUCAAAAAAAUGCCUUUUUGUUGGUAUUAAUUGCUGGGUUGAUUAUUUCAGAGGUUGACUUUACAGGUAUUUGAUGACCUUCAUCUGAUAAUACCAAGGGCAGAUGUCGAGAUCUUUCUUCUUAGAUGUUGAUGAACAGCUGCAAAGAAGAGCAUAAGGAGGCCACUUUCUUGCGGGCUCUGUCGACCGGGCUAUCAGAUCCACACUUGACAAAUUAAGUUUUCUGUUUCACAAGAGUUACUCCAAACUUUCAAGCUAGUGGAGAAGGGUUUCCCUUUCGAUUCCUCCUUGUCUUUUUUUUUUUUUUCAGGAUCUCUGUUGAGCACAUGAUUUCUUAGAUAUAACUUUUCUCCUCACUGUGCACUGGAGGUGGUGAUGCAGUUGAUUUAUAGCAUAUUUAAUUGUCUUGUUCUAUGAGGAAUUGAGAGUUGAUUAGAUCACAAAUGCUUUAAUGUUCCAGCAUAAUAGACGGCUGAAUAUAAUGAAUUUCCUGGAAUGUGCAUUACUUAUAGCAUAAUUGACGUUUAUUAUAUUGAAGUAAUUUUUUUCUGGCAGUUGUUUGAUAAUUGAUGGGGGUUUGGGUUUUAGUCCCUUUUACCAAAAUGUUCUUAUAAUUGAAAGUAAAAUUGCUGCUGACAACAUGAGUUGGUUAAUUUUGUUGUUGAGUGCUUGAUAAUUGCUUGUUAGGGUUGUACGAACUUUUAAAUUUAUGAUGCUCUUCAAGAAUCUUAUAUGACAAUUGAAGUUAAAUUUCAAGAAAAUGUUUAGAAAGUGAACCAUUCAUUUUUGUUUUUCUGGUUGAUGUUAUUGCUGCACGAGGACGCAUUAGCAGAGAUAAUGAAAAGUAUCCUGAAAAUGGAUAUAAAUUCCAUAAAAAUUGGAUAAUUUAUUGUAGGUUAUUGUACUUUUUUUGCUGGUGAAUGUCAAUAGAAAGCCAUAAAUAGCUUACCAUAUAGGCUAUGUCUUGUUAAUAAUAUAAGGUGUAUAUACUCUCAUAAUUAUGAAAGGAGAUUUAGCUUACAAUGUAUAGCUUCCUAAGAUCACACCAGUCAUCAUUUAUGGUUUCCUUGUAUAACUAGUUUCCAUGUAUAACCAAGUAGCAUGACCUAUAUGUAAUGGUGAUAUGCUGAAAAUAAAGGUAUUCUGAAUUCUGAUUUCUGAAUUUUGUCAUGGUAUCAAAGCCCUCAGUCAUAGUUUUCUAAGAACCCUUUGUUUUUUCUUUCUCAAUCAUAGUCUUAGUACUCAUGGAGAAGUCAAAUAAUGUUUGUAUAAGAUUCACUGGCAAAAAUUAUGCUGCUUGAAAGUUUCAAUUAGAGACUUUUCUCAAAGGUAAAGAGCUGUGAGGACAUAUAGAUGGCAGGAGCAAAGGGAGAUCUAAUGCAGAAGAUUCUGUGGCUAACAAGGCAGCUUGGGAGGCCAAAGAUAAUCAAAUCAUGUCCUGGAUUCUUGAUUCUAUGGAGUCACAUCUGAUUCUUCCUCUGCGUCUAUGGAAUUAUCUAAAACAAGUCUAUAAGCAAGACAACAAUGUCAGACACUUCCAACUUGAGUUAGCCAUUGCGAACUAUACGCGAGAGGAUCUUUCAGUCCAAGACUACUACUCUGGUUUUCUGAUUUUGUGGAAUAACUAUUCUGAUCUUGUUGCAACCACUGUCUCUAUAGAAGGAUUGGAGGCAGGAUUGGCAACAAUACAACCAGUACACAACCAACUAAAAAGAUUAAUUUCUAAUGAAAUUGAGGCUUGAUUUUAAAGCUAUUUGUGCCUCUCUAGUAAAUAGAGAUCUUGUUCCGACUUUGGAGGCAUGCUUAGGAGAACUCUUGCGUGAGGAACAAUGUAUUGCUUCUAACACUGGAGUAAACCAGUUUCUUGCAGGCUCCAUCCAACAGGCAGCAAAUCCAUACUCAGAUCCAGAGGCUUUGAACUUGGUGCCAAAAUCGUUUCUACAGCACCAAUUAAGCCCUCGAUGCCAUCGCCACCGCUACUGCCACCCACACCACCAUCACUUUCACCACCAAUUUUACUAAUACCGGACCAUACUGUAGGAACAGAGAAGAUCCAAGGUAUUAAAUUGGAGAGGAUUCUAGAUGGAAAACCAGCCCAUAUUUUCAGGAAAUUCGAUAAUAUCGAGUGAUUGAACAAAAACACAGAGACAACGCAACGAAAUGAAAAUUCCAUUUUUUUUUUGGUUACAGAGCGGAUACGAAGAUCAAGACUUACAGCACACGUUGGCGACUCUAUUUUAAGAGAGUGUUCACCGCCUCUUCCACCAAUGUUGCCUCCACCACCACCACCACUAUUAUUACUAUUAAUGGUAUUUCUAAGCAUCUUGAUAAAACUUAUGAUAGCUGCACUGUGGAUGAGAACUGAUAGAAACAACUCACAAAAUGUUUGUGAUUGAAGGGUAUAAACUGCUGGUUCGGUGAAUGUGUGUGCUUAAACUACUUCCAUCUUGAUUGGUUGCAUGUUGCUUAUCAUAAAAUGUUGACUAAAAUUCCUCUAGUUAAGGGAACUAAAAAACAAAUUGCAAUAGACCAGAUUUGUAAGUAGAGGAAUUGAGAGUUGAUAGGAUAAAAAAUGCUUUAAUGUUCCAGCAUCAUAAAUGGCUGAAUAUAAUAGAUCAUGUUCAACUUCCUCUUUGGUUGUGUGUAAUGAAAGAGGAGAGCUUGUGGAGGUUACCGCUAGAGUGGAUAAAAAAACAGUCUCUGCAGAGAGAAACAUUACUGCUCUGAUGAAUGUUAGUGAGGCAGAGAGGAAACCUAGAGCCAAGAUUAAUAAACAUCUUGAUACACUUAAGAACCGAGUACCCGGUACUCAUAAGUUAGUUGUUUUUUUCAGGAUUGAUCAGGUUGAGAUUUGAGUUUAAUCACAGUUCUUGAAACCUCCUAUUUUUUUAUGAAUUUUGUUUCUUAAAGCAUGAGAAUAAAAUUUUUAGGAAACUAUUUAUGUUACGUUUACAAUUUUCAAGUAAUUGUUGUCAUUACUUGUUGAUUGAGAUCGAUGAUAAAUCAAGAGCAGGUGAUGUUAUUUAUGAACUGUUUGAUAAAUAAAUUCUUGAUAUUUAAUGUUCCAGCAUAAUAGAUGGCUGAAUAUAAUGAAUUUCCUGGAAUGUACAUUAAUGAUAGCAUAAUUGAUGUUUAUUAUAUUGAAGUAAAUUUUUCUGGCAGUUGUUUGAUAAUUGAUGGGGGUUUGGGUUUUAGUCCCUAUUGGCAGAAUAUUAUGAUACUUGAUGGGAGUUUGGCUUUAUAAGUCAAAAAUCGCACAAUGUGUAAACAAGUUUCCCUGGUGGCAUCAAAGUUAUUACUAUUUUGGAACUCAACUAUAGCUUGUGGAGGUUACUGCUAGAGUGGAUAGAAAAACAGUCUCUGCAGAGAGAAACAUUAGUGCUCCGAGGAAUGUUAGUUAGGCAAAGAGGAAACCUAGAGCCAAGAUUAAUGAGCAUCUUGAAACGCGAGUACCCGGUACUCAUAGGUUAGCUGUUUUUUGUCAGGAUUGAUUAGGUUGAGGUUUGAGUUUAAUCACAGUUCUUGAAGCCUCUUUUUUUUUCUACGAAUUUUGUUUCUUAAAGCUUGAGAAUAAAAUUUUGGUAAACCAUUAGGUAAUGCAAUUGAAAGUAAAAUUGUUGCUGACAACAUGAGGUGUUUAAUUUUGUUGUUGAGUGUUUGAUAAUUGCUCAUUAGGUUUGUUCGAACUUUUGAAUUUAUGAUGCUCUUCAAGAAUCAUAAAUUAUAUGACAAUUGAAGUUAAAUUUCAAGAAAAUGUUCCAUUCAUUUUUGUUUUUCUGGUUGAUGUUAUUGCUGCACGAGGAUGCAUUAGCAGAGAUAAUGAAAAGUAUCCUGAAAAUUUAUUGUGCUACUUUUUUGAGUUGUCAAGAAUAAGAAUGACUGAGCUGCGCUGCUAUGAUUCGCUUGGUUGUCAGUUAGUUCUGAUAGCUUUUCAUAGCAGUUAAAUUUUCAGGUAAUUGUUGUCAUUAAUUACUUCUUGAUGCUAUUUAUGGAUUGUUUGAUUAACAAAUUCUUGAUAUUUAGAUGAACUAAUUCAGUUUGUGAAUCACUGUCAAGUUUCUGGCUUAGUGGUAUGUUGAGUUGGGCUUUCAGAUUAGUAGUUUGAACUCGGAUGGACAAGGUAUUAGGAUAGCUAAUGGAAAACCAGAUUACUCAACCUAAUUGGGUAUGAUCUACUGGACUAUGUCAUUGGUCUCUCAUUGUGCCCUUCAUCUGAUGGCACUUCCCAAUCUACCUUGAAAAUAACCCAUUGGGUUUGGCAGGACAAAUUAAUUCUCAGUGCAAUCCUUGUUUCCACCUCCACCUCAAUUACUCCCCUCAUCGCCACCACUAAAACAUCUCAUGAGGCAUGGAAAAAACUAAAUCACAUAUAUGCUAGUCAAUCUCAAAUGAGAGCUAUGCAACUCAAGGAGGACCUUACCUUGAUUCAAAAAGGAAAUCGAUCAAUUCAGGAGUAUCUCCACGCAGUAAAAGCGUUGGCUGAUGAAAUUGCUCUAAUCGAUCAUCCCAUCUUUAAUGAUGAUCUAACUCUUUAUAUUCUUUAUGGUUUGGGUUCUGAUUUCAGGGAAAUUGCUGCACCAAUUCAUGCGAGGGAGAAAUCCUUGAAUUUUGAACUUCUUGAUUUGCUGGUUGGUCAUGACAGCUACCUUCGGCGACUGGAAUCGGCUACCCAUCAACUUGUGGCAUCAGUGAAUUACACAAAUCGCAAGAACUCUUUUGGAAACUCUUUCCAGAAGAAUCAAAAACCCAGUGGUUUCUCAUGAAACCAGGGUCCUCACAGAGAAAACCGGUAGAAUAAUAAGCCAUUCGGCCAGCCCAAUGCAACACAAAAAAGGUACCAGCCCAAAUGCCAAUUUUGUGACCAAAUUGGUCACACGGCCAAAACAUGCCCUCGCUUGAAUUCUCAUACAGUCACAGCAAAAUACAUUUCUACCUCAAAUGCCACAAACAAUAAAUGACUCAUGGACUCUGCUGCAUCCCAUAAUGUUACUGGUGAUCUCAACAACCUAUCAAUUCACUCAGAAUAUAAUGGCACUGAUGAAGUCGUGCUCGGUAAUGGUUCAAGUUUGAUUGUUUCACAUAUAGGAUCUUAAAAUCAAAACACAAAAAUUUCAUUCUCAAAGACACACUUUGUGUUCCAGAUAUCUCCAAAAACCUUAUAUUUGUGCACCAUUUUACUGCUCAAAAUAAUGUCUUUAUUCAAUUUCACCCAUCUUAUUUUCUUGUGAAGGACACGAACUCAGGGGUGAUCCUGGCAAAAAGUGUAUGUGAAAAUAGUGUUUACAUCUUACCGAAUACACUAGCGGCAACUCUCUUCCCCAUGGUCACCAAUGUGCAUGAAAAAACCUCUUUUGACGGGUGGCAUAAACGGCUUGGUCAUCCUUCCUCCAAAAUUGUUCACAAUGUUGUUCGUCAGUUUUCACUUCCAUUCACAACCACUCAAAAGUCAUCUCUAUGUCCUUCAUGUUCUAUUGAUAAAGCACAUCAACAACCUUUUCGAUCUACUAGUAUAUCAAGCACUGCACCUCUUAAUCUUAUUUAUACUGAUGUUUGGGGUCCUGCUCACUGUGUUGGUUUAGAUGGCUUUCGGUAUUACCUCAUUUUCAUUGAUCACCACACCAAAUACAUGUGGUUUUAUUCUAUGGAAACAAAAUCUGAGGUGUCUUAUUUUUCAUUGAUCACUACACCAAAUACAUGUGAUUUCAUUGAUCACCACCAAAUACAUGUGGUAUUACCUCAUUUUUCAUUGAUCACUACACCAAAUACAUGUGGUUUUAUUCUAUGGAAACAAAAUCUGAGGUGUCUUAAUUUUCAUUGAUCACUACACCAAAUACAUGUGAUUUCAUUGAUCACCACCAAAUACAUGUGGUAUUACCUCAUUUUUCGUUUAUCACUACACCAAAUACAUGUGGUUUCAUUGAUCACCACCGGUGUCUUCGGUUAAUGCUCCCGCCAUGGUCAUUGCACCUCCAGGUAACCCUUCAGUCUCUACUUCCUCUAAUUUAUCUUCUCAAUUGGUUUUGUCUUCACACCUACAAACCCUAACCUUCCACCUUCCAUUCACCGUGUCGAUCAUACCCCAUGACCUAGACCCAAUACUCAACCUGCAACUGAACCAAAAAUCACUUCCCACCACCCAUAACCAUCAAUCUCUCGACCCCAUCAGAUGACCACUUGGUCUAUGAACAAAAUUUUUAAACCCAAACAACUGAACAGUGCUACCAAACACCACCCCAUACCUGAUACCACAUUGAACCCACAUGUGUCAGUCAAGCCGUUUCUGAACCUCACUAGAGUGAGGCCAUGUCUCAUGAACUAACCGCUCUCAUGCGACAUGGGACAUGGGAACUGGUACCUCCUCCAAAACACUACAAUCCAGUCGGUUGUAAAUGGGUUUUUAGAGUAAAACGUAAAUCUGAUGGGAAAAUGGAUAGAUUUAAAGCCUGUUUAGUGGCUAAAGGGUAUCAUCAACGUCCAAGAGUGGACUAUACGGAGACAUUCAGUCUCGUAGUUAAGCCUGCUACAAUUAGAAUCAUACUUUCCAUUACUGUGAUGAAUGGUUGGGUCUUACGCCAACUGGACAUUAAUAAUGUUUUCUUACAUGGGGCGCUCAGUGAAACUGUUUAUAUAUUGCAACCCCCAGGUUUUAAAGAUUUAAGCAAGCCUGGUCAUGUCUGUCGACUUCGAAAGGCCAUUUAUGGUCUCAAACAGGCUCCUUAGGCAUGGUAUUCUACCUUGAAAAAUGUCAUACUUCAGUUUGGUUUUAAGAACUCCCAGGCAGAUUCUUCAUUAUUCAUUUUUCAGCAUAAGUCAAUUAUCUGCUAUUUUCUGGUAUAUGUGGAUGACUUAGUGAUUACUGGAAAUAAUUCAGACUUUAUGAAUUCUAUUGUUAAACAACUUGGCUGCAAAUUUUCAUUGAAGGAUAUGGGGUCCUUGCAUUAUUUCUUAGGAAUGGAAGUCAUACCCACUUCAGGUGGUCUUUUCCUUUCCUAGCACAAGUAUAUUCGUGAUUUGCUCUCCAACACAAACAUGCUUGGGGCAAAGGAAGUGUGUAGCCCUCUCUCCACAAGCACACCUCUAAAACUCAAUGAUGGCACUGCUUUUGACAGCACCGAAUAUAGAGAAUAAUUGGCAGCCUCUAGUACUUAUCUCUCACCAGACCAGAUAUCUCAUUUGUUGUAAACAACUUGUCUCAAUUCAUGCACAAGCCUACUCAGACUCAUUGGGCAGCAACCAAGCGACUCCUGCGCUACUUGAAGCAAACCAUCUUUCAUGGUAUUCAACUGAUCAAUCAUACCCAUCCAUCCCUCACCACUUUUUCAGACGCAGAUUGGGUAGGCAACCUUAACGAUCGCACAUCCACAUCCGCAUAUAUUAUCUUUCUUGGCUCCAAUCCUGUCCCAUGAAGCUCGAAGAAACAACGUGCUGUAGCUCGAUCUUCAACAGAGGCCAAAUACAAGGCUCUUACAAAUGCAGCUUCAGAAACUAUUUGGAUACACUCUCUCCUUCAUGAACUUGGAUUCAAACUCAACAUCACUCCAUCACUACUAUGCGACAAUCUUGGAGCCACACAUCUUAGUCACAAUCUGGUACAUCACUCCAGGAUGAAACAUAUCCAAAUUGAUCUUCACUUUGUUCGCGAUCUGGUUCACCGCAGGGCUAUUCACGUCCGACAUGUCCACACUCAAGAUCAACUUGCCGAUUUGUUGACAAAGCCUCUCUCCAAGCAACGCACAGAGCAUUUGAGAAGCAAAAUUGCUCUUGCUGAUAGCAGCUCAAUUUUGAGGGGGUGUAUUAGGACAGCUAAUGGAAAACCAGAUCCACUAGACUCCUAGCCAAGAAUCAUGUAUAUUAAUGCAGACAGAUAGUGCAGCAACAUUCUAGGAAAACAAUUGCAAAUCAUUCUAUAUUUAACUUACUGUAAUUCCUUUGUAAUUCCUUAAAUUCAGCAUACAUUGUGUAUAAAUUUAAUGCUCAACAACAAUAAUAAAGUGUGGAAAAUUUCUGUUAGAAGAACUCUGUUAUAUCUCUCUGUGUUAUAAUUUGCUUUACAAGGAACCAGCAUCAUUGCUUGCUGCAAUCCCCUGUUGAUCUUCUUCAACACCUGUGACCUGGGUUUUUCUCACAUGAUUGCAAAACUUGAACGCAUUAAUAAGGCCAGGAUUGGAAAUAAAUAAAAAAUUUCUCCUCUCGCAAUGCACCCUAAACAAUCUAUGCUUAGAAGUAGAAUAAAAAAAAAAACAAAGAAAAGAGGCAGCACAAGUACUGAUAGAGCCUAUCUUUUUGUUUGUUUUUCUAUAAAGUGCUCCAAGACCCAAAGCAAACAAUGGAGUCAUGGCAUCCACUGCAACGUCCUAUCCUUGUACAGCUAACUAAAAAUAGCAUCAGGAGGAUGUGAUAGCGCUUGAAAUCCCUCGACUGUGGAUAACAGAGUUAGCAAGAAAAAUCUAUCAGCCCCUCUGAUUAAUACAAACUCUCAGGAACUUGAUCAAGGAUGGCUGCCAAUUCAGUGUAAUCGCACUCUGAGUAAAAAAAAAAUUAGUAUUGUCUUAGAACCUAGCUACCGAAUGAUGGCUGCCAAUUCUCACUGCAACUGGACAUUCCAUACCUGAUCCAAUCUCAAAAGCUCAGCCCAUAAUCCUGCCUUUGCUGCACUGCGCGAACCCACUUGAGAUUUGAAACCCUGUUGCCCAUACUAAAACACUUGAAACGUGCAUCUCCUUACUAGUAUCAUCGGCAUUAAGCUUAACCCGGCCCUUGUCAGGAGGCUGCCGAACUAACAAGACCUUACUGCCUUGAUGCAUAUCCAUCUGCAUUCCAUCACGCCUGCAAUGUUUCCCUACAAGUACCCGCGCCUAUAAGACUGCUACUGUUAUAAUUUAAUUUUUGAUUUUUUUAAAAAAAUAAAAAAUAAUAAUAAAAUGAAUGAAGAAUAAAUUGAAAUUUGAGUCAAGAAAACAUAACUUUUAAGUUUAAUUAUUUAAUUAAACUUUAAAUUAGUUUAAUUAAUCAAAUCAAGAGCUAAUUAUAGAAUUGAUAAGUUUGAAUACUUAGUAAAAUCAGAGAUUUAAUUAGAAAAAUAUCAAAGUUUGAGACUGAUUUGGGUUCAAAUCACAAGAAAUUCAAGUUCAAGGACCAUUUGUAAAUGGCAAUACAAUGCAAGGGUCUAAUUACAAUUUACUCAGGGGCUUGAUUACAGAAUUUCAGAACUUUAGUGACCCGAUUGAAAUGGAUAUUCCCAUCCCAAAACGGUACUGUUUCAUAGAAACUGUUUAUCUCCUUCAUCCCGAUUGAGCGGAAACGACAGAGAACGUUGUGACAUCUUUCCCCAACGAUGCGCCAUUAAUAGUCCAAUAAUGGAUGCUAUCCAUUAUAUGUAUUGGCCAAAAGUAUGAAGGUGGAGAUUAAUGUAUUUCUUGGGUUGAGUUGGGAGGCGUGGAAUAGAGAAACAAGAGGUCAAAGUAUGCUCAGAACAAUGAAGAAAUGAACACAACAGGAGGAUGAAAGAAAAGGAAAAAAUGAACGAACGGAGGAGAACGAGCAGUGGGGGACGCGAACAGAAAAAGGGAACGAAAGAACAGAAAUUGAGAGAAAACCGAGAGAACCAGGGGACUGAGAGAAAACCUAGAGAACCGGGGAAGGAAGACCAGAGGAAACCCGAGAACAACACAAAAGGACGCGAAAAAAAGAGAAACCAGGAGGACGAAGAUACAUAGAGAGAGAGCCAGACGCAGAGAGAGACAGAGAGACAGAGAGAAAACAGGGAAACAAGAAUAAAAAAGAGAGACCAGAGAGAGAGAAUAUCAGAGGAGAAACGAAGGAAAAACAGAAACGAAGAGAGGAAAGCCUUCGUCUUCGCACCAACUCAAGCCAUCGUCUUCAAACGGCAACAUAAUUACCUUGUUACUGUUGCAAGCGAGAAUAAUUGACGCAUGCGAGCAACAGUAACCAGCUGGGUCACUGGUUUAGACCAGUGACGAAGCUGAGUUGGUUGGGUCCAUCUCGGGCUUAGAUAACAUAGCCUCUAAAAAUUAAAAAACAAAAAAAAACUAGGGCUAAGCCAACUCAAUUUAUUUUAUUUUAUUUUAUUUUUUAAAUAUUAAAAAAUUCUAAAAAAAUUAGUGAAUUUUAGAUAGAACAUUUAAAAGUGAUAAUAUCUUUUUUUUUUAUGUAAUACUAACUAUAAUACUAGGCAACAACUUUUUAAAUAAAAAAUUUAUUUUAAAAAUAAAAUGCCAAAAAUUCUAUUUUGUUUUCAUGAAUUGAUCUUUUAAUGAUCACCGUGAAUUCGGAUAUCAACUCCCAGCCCUACUCCCAAAUGAAAUUACGACAUAGUUGGAACUUCGAAGGACCGCAAUAUAGCAUAUCAAACAUGAUAGCUUAGUUUGGAAUUGUAUCAGAAUAGUUCAGCCUUAAGACAGAUGGCUUAUUAUGAAUUUAACGUUUUAGUGUUGAUAUGGUAUUGGACGUGGGACAAAAAAUACAAAUAUAACCUAUAAAACAUUCUCCCUCGAGAUAGAUACAUUGACAUAAAGCUCAGAUUGCACAAGCUUUGCAUUCAUGCUACAUUGUAGUUGCAAAUGUAAAAGCUGAGCCAAUGGCAACUGACCAUCCCAAGGCAACAUCUGUGCUUCUGCCAUCAAUAUCCUGUGUAUAAACAGCAAUCAACAUGUGUUAAGAGUAAUUGAGAUGAUAAAUGUCCUCAUGCGCAUGCUCAGGUUUAGUGACUAAUGAGUGAGCAUGCCUUGAGAGAGUCCAGAGAAAGAUAGAGAGAGAACCUGGUGGACUGCAAUGCUGGAAUUAAUUCCGGCUCCAUUGAUCUUCUGGCCAUGAACAUAGUCUCUCCUUACAGAAUGGGCCUCUGCAUCAGGACACACAGCAAUCACACUGAUGUGCUUUGGGAAAUCAAGCCCCUUUGACUGCAAAUGCUCGAUAAGAAAUCCAUGGGACAGCCCAAGGAUGCUGUUUGGCUUCAUGUGAGAGAAAACUCUCUCAUAAACACCAGCCUGAUGCAUCAUGAUAUUAAAGUUGCACGGUUUAGACUGUGACCAAAACAGGCAUUCAUCAACACCAAACACAUGGAAUUUAUUAGAUGACCUAUUAAGAACUGGAUCAUACAGAAUGCACCACAAAACUUUUACCUCUGCUUAAUGGAUUAUGGGGAAAAAAUGAAUUGAAAACAGAUGAACUGGAGAUGUGCUAGAAAAUCAGAAACAUUUUCCUCUCCUAUUCUAAUUUGAUAGAACCAAAAUCAACCUCGCGGCUUCACAGAAGAAAACUAAGCAAGCACAAACACAUCUGCAGACAGACGUAUCAUAAAUGUGUAGUCACUAAGAAAUAACAUACACUUAGCACUUCGCAGAAAUGUCUUUUUUAAAAGUUGAGACCAUAUAGAAGAACCUUGAGGAAGCAAAUCGGUAUUGAAACAGUACACACAGAAAAGUAACCCCUGAAGAACGUCACAGGAAACAAAUUGAAGACAAGUAGCAGAACAACACCAUUUGUAUUCCAUGCCAGAACUUUGUAUUUUCUUUUGUUUUUCACCCCACACAACGUUCGCGAACUCGAGUUAAGAAUCCUAAAGAAUCUUUUUUUUGGCCUAAAUCUCAGCAGACACAAACUGAAAGAAAAAUACAGAAACAACACAUAGAGAAACAAACUCAGAAUUCACACUGAAGGAUUAAUUAACAAACAAACCUGUGCAGCAUUGGAAAUCAAAAGAAGCACAAGAUCACUGCCUGAAAUAGUUUCCCAGAUAACUCCUAAAGUGUCGCUCUCUUCAGUAAAACCAGCAGCACGAGCAUCAGCAAAAGAGCAAGAAUCCUUCUCGAGACCGACCUAUAUCAUACAGAGUAACCAUGUAACUUCCUAAACAGGUAAAAGUUCUGUAUAUAAGAGUGAGGUGUAAAUAAUUAUUUGCCUUGACUUUUAUAUCACACUUGGCUUCAGCGAGUGCAUCCCUUAAAUUCCAAGCUUGAACAGAACCCUGGUAAUGAAUGGGGGCUUGUCAGCAAUCCACACAGAGUCAUGAUAAAAAUAGCAUUAAAGGAAAGAUUUGUGAUAAAAUGAAGCUAUCGAUACACAGAUUGAGCUAUCGAUGUAAAUGCACACAUUCAUAGACUCUGUUUCCAGUUUCCACAGACACACUCCAAAAGAUUUUGUAGAAUGGAAAAGACGGCUUUUGAUACUAACAAGUUUUAGUCCUCAAGCAGAACCAAGACAUACUAAUAAGGUACUACAAAUUUAAAGGCAAUUGUACAUAUUCUAAGCACAAAAUUGAUAGUAUUCACCUGGGAAACCCAACCAACGACACCAAUCUGUUUAAUGCCCUGGAAUGCAUCUGGGAGCAAGAGAAACACAUCCUUGCCUCCUCUCACAAUGUACUGCAAUGCAAUAGGAACAAAGCAUCAUCAAUAACCAAUAGUUACAGACAGAAAGGAGUAAAACUUGGAGGGGGAAACAAUCUAUUAGACAGAAACCUAAUAGUUAUCUUCCAUUAUGAAACACUAAAUUAAAGUUUCUAAUAUUUGAUUAUAAAAUUUACAAAAUGGAGCUCUAAAUUUAGUGAAGGAAAUGGAAAAAAUAAAAUUUUAAAAAUCAUACCUUGUCAUGGCCAGCGAGCAUGAUCUUCUCCUUCUUAAAAACGAAGGUCUGAAAAUCAAGAGAGGUCCGAAGCUUUACCCUUGGAUGCAUGACCCUUUCAGCAGCACCAAGUGAGCCCCUUCCGCCAUGGACACUACCGUCACCUCCACGAAUUUUAGUAAUAGUAGCUAUGAUCGCUUGCACAACCACAGGAUUGAAGAAGACCCAUUUAAGGAAUUUUGAAAAUUUUGCACCGAAAAGAAAAGCAGAGACGUUGCAAUGCAAUUCAAAUUGUGUAUCUUUUACAUAACCAGAUAGGGAGAUCUUCUCCCUGCUUGCAAAGCGGGUGGAAAAAACAAGACUUGCAGCACGCGGUGGUGGCGAGUCCGCAUCAGCUGAGCCGUCACCGUCCACGUCCUUUUCUCCGCCGCCUCCUCCUCCACUACCAUUACUAGUUUUAAGCAGCUCACUUAUUUUCAAGACAGCAGCUGCCAUGGCCAUGACACGUGAUAGAAACUCUUGCGGAUAAUGGACGGAUUUUGAUGGUUUUGGAGGAAUGGUGAGUGGAGGGAGAGGGACAGAGGCAUCAAAAUGAGUUUCAAAUUGUAACUCCUCUUCCUGAACACCAUCAAGAGAGACUUUCUUCUUCUUGCUGUAGAAGGUCCCGAAAUGAAGAGAAGCUGACAACGGUUUCAACGGCAUUCUACACCCUACUGUUGAGCCUGACAGCUUGGGUUUGCCUCUUUCGAGAGAUAGACCAUUACGUGAAAAGGUGUUACGUAGAGAUUUUGGCGGUGGUGGUUUUGGACUGUGUAGAGCAUAAAAGCAGUAAGUAGCAGCCAUUUUGGUUUCGGAGGUGGCGGAGACGAUGCCGGAGUUUUACGGGAAAUGGACAGUGGGAGUGUGUUUUUGGGGUUGCCUGUGGCUACAAAAGGAAGGGCGACACCAACUCAUUGGUUUACAUGUAAUAUGUCCGAAACAAAAGGAUAUCUUACGAAGGCGAACGCACGAAUCCCGACCUGGAUACCCUCAAUAACUAGUUCCGAAAAUCUAUGGACCCGACAAGUGUCACCAGACAUGAAAUUUAUCGGCUUUGACGUGGCGUAACGAGGUGGAGGACAAUGUAGUCAUUUUAAUAUUUUGUGUGAUUAAUUAGUGGAUCCUUAGGCUAGGGCUUCCCCUUCGGGGUUUUCAUUUGUGGAGGGCAAGUUAGUCAUUCAAAUAAGUUAUACCCGAAGGGCUUUCCCUUCGGGGUAUAAUUUAUUUUAUCACAAGAAAAUAAAAAUAAAUUUUACAACACUUGAACUGUAAUAAUAUUUGUAACAUUGACGAAAGAGAAACAAAGAUGGAGUAGCAUUGAAUUUUUCUCAAUAAAAUACCACUGCAAAUCUCUAAUCUCUUUAUACGUUAAGAGAGUCAAGAAAAUUUGGGCGAUGAUUGGCUAAUAAACUAUGUUAAUUUGUUAUUAGGUAAUUCUUGGGUUGAUUAUUUAAUUAGAGGUUGACUUUUAUUAGCAUUUGUUAUUUGCUAAAGGGCCUAUUGAGGUGGGUUGCUGAUUUGAAGGAGCUGAAGAAGAGGCUGGUAGAGGGCAGUGAGGAUCUCCUCGGACCCUGUGAUGUUGAUGAAGUGAAGAGUUGACUUACGGGAGGAUGGAUGUUUGGAUAUAGCGAUAGCAAGCCUGGAUGAAGAAUGUUUUUAUGAUGGUUUGGAUGGUUUGCAGUGAAGAUCUCCUCGGACCAUCUGCAGGCUCUGUCCAUCAGGCUAUCGGGAUCCUUCCUUGUCAUCUUUAUUCAGGAGAAAGCCAUGAUGAGGGUAUGAUUUCUUUGUGAUGGUUGUGCCUUUUAUAUAUAAUGUUUCUCUUCUCCUUAUUUUCAAGCUAUGAUGAC
rnacentral:lncRNA from 1 species